AAUAUUUUUCAAUCCAUGAAAACUUUAUUCAAGCACUUGAACAUUGUUGGGCUGUCGACGGGGCCCUUGGGUGUAAUCAACGUCACUGAGGCAAAAGCUUCCCGAAGCUUCUAAAUUCGCGUAAACAAUUUUUUUGCGCGAUAGCACGAUAUUGCCUUAUUAGGCAAUAUCGGGGAUGUCAAGGGUCCCUCCGCGAGGAAACCGAAAUUCCUUCGCGCGGCCUGCGAUGAAUCGAGUCUCGAACGUUGAGAGAGUAAGUCGGUGCAAAAUUUUGUGAGAAUUUAGAAGCGAGAAUAAAGUAGUGAUCGUUUAUUAUUGAUCAGUAUAAUUAGCGGACACGAACCAGACAAUUCUUAAUAUUACAACAUUUUUAUGUACAAUUUGUGCGUGAGUGUACGCGCGUGUGUAUGUGAAUAUAUUAGACUAAUUGUAAGCUGUGCAUCUGAGGGCCCUCUCGCACGACAAACGACCCCUACGAGAGAUUUUUAAGCGCUAACUUUUUAAGGAAGCAUUUUUCGACUCAUAUUUAUAGGAAACUUUUUGUUCAGAAUUAAAUUUCCUAUAAAAUCUCCAAGUCUGGUCGAAAUGUUUGGGUUCAUCCUGUAUAUACAAAUACAACAUGUUUUCACGGAUAAACUUUGAAUUUAAUAUAAAAUUAAAUAACAAAAAGAAUCAUGUUCCGUUCAAGAAAAAACAGUUAUAACGGUGCGUUCAGUCGAGAGAGGCCUCUUAUAUAUUGUUUAUACAUAUCGUUAAAAAAAUAUU